GAUGAACGCUGGCGGCGUGCCUAAUACAUGCAAGUCGAGCGAACAGACGAGGAGCUUGCUCCUCUGAGGUUAGCGGCGGACGGGUGAGUAACACGUGGAUAACCUACCUAUAAGACUGGGAUAACUUCGGGAAACCGGAGCUAAUACCGGAUAAUAUAUUGAACCGCAUGGUUCAAUAGUGAAAGACGGUUUUGCUGUCACUUAUAGAUGGAUCCGCGCCGCAUUAGCUAGUUGGUAAGGUAACGGCUUACCAAGGCAACGAUGCGUAGCCGACCUGAGAGGGUGGUCGCCCACACUGGCAGUGAGACAGGGCCCAGACUCCUACGGGAGGAAGAAGAAGGAAAUCUUCGGCAGGGGGCGAAAGCCUGACGGAGCAACGCGGCGUGAGAGAUGAAGGUGUUGGGAGCGAAAACCUCUUUUAUGGGGGAAAAAAAAAUUUGAAAGAAAAUAGGCCGUUCGGGAGGGUACCUAAUAAAAAAGCCACGGCUAACUCCGUG
rnacentral:rRNA from 1 species